GAUUCUCGCGUUUUCUCGAAAAUCAUGGCGGAAGACAACAAAUGUAACAGCGGUAAUUUUCUACUUUCUUACUUUUAACGAAUGUCUUUUCUCUGUUGUGCAACUGAUAACAAAAACAUUUAUUGCCAACAAAGAUAACUGAAUAGUUGAUCUUAAAAUGAGCUAGAUGUCUGCAUGCUUUUUAGGUAUUUCCAAAGCAAGAACCUCAACAGACAGUCCUGGUCAAGCUCUAACCAGUUUUAGCUAGUUCUCUUUUUUAAACAGUAUGUUUAUCGAAAUGUUUUUCUAAAAACGUGACUGCUUUCUGCGUAUCGGUUAAUUCAUUCAUCAUAUUAUCCAUUUAUCGCUCGAAUUAUAUCAUUGCUUACUUUUCAGAUUUGUCGAAUAACCAAUUUGUAUUCGGACAAAAUAUGGAUGGACGAGUUGUAAAAGUUAGUAAACAAAUUUUUUAAACAUUUCAUUUAUAAUCAGCUUGAGGAUAUAUGAUUUGUUCGAAACAUUUCAUUUUUUAAAUCUCUGGAGAUUAGACGAUUACGGUCAAUCAACCAUAGGUUAUGGAUAUCAGUUUGCAUUGAUGUACAACUAGCAACCUCUAUUUUUAUAAAAAUUAUAUUGAUUGAAGUAGCUCUUAAGAGUUUACAAUAUUUGUACCAUAUCUAAUUUCAAUAACAAACAAGUAAAGAAUUUAGAAGAGUAUACAAGAAGAUGUCUUGUUUUAUCUCAAGAUUACUAAGUUAUUCUUAUUUUUGUAGAAUAACCAUUACCCCAUGUAGAAGUACAGGCAAAGAAAUAAAUUAUUUAUUUCAAUUAGUUAAAAGAUAGCCAUUUAACUUUCAUUAAAAUAUUUAUCUGCAUAAUUAAGUUUUUCGAAAUGCGUAUCUAAACAACAGGCCGGUGAACAUCACAACUCUAAAGUAAAAUUAUGUUGCCAAAAAAGCAACAGUAUUCUAUAAGAAUGUGUAAGAAACUUUCUUACUUUUUUUAAAGCAAGCCGAAAAAGAGAAAUCAGAUUCUCCCAAAGCUCAAAGUAUUAUUCGUCCCGGAACAACUUUUAACCAAAAACCUUUUCCUAACACUCACGGUAACUAUAUUAUGAAUUGUUCUAUUUUUCAUUUAUUCGAAAGCAGGUUUAACUUAAUAUAUAUUUAUAAUUUCAGUGACUUCUUUAACACCAAGUAAAAUGACGUCAAAUCCAUUUUCUGGAAGUGCAUCGACGUCCAACGAUAAUUCCGAUGGUAUCCUUCAGAAUAACCCGUUCGCUGAAAGAAUAAAUACGCAUUCUAUUUCAAGUGCGGGGAAUUCCGAUUCUGAAGAUGAUCGAAAUAAACCAAUUGUUGCCCCCGCUCAUUUUCAAGUUGCGACAGCAGUCAAUUCAAGAGGCUCAAGUUCAUCCAGCUUUAAAUUAAGACCGUCUGCCCUAAGCAAACAUACUGAAGGCAUAGGAAAAGGAAUAUGCGUAAAAACUUUAGGUGAUAAAACAAAAACAAACGAUAAUAAAGAAAACGCUUCAAACUCAAAGUCCGCAAAUGGAACGGUGGAUAGUGAUAAACAAAAUGGAAACUCUCCCGAUGAAACAUCUUCAUCAAAUAACGCAUCAUCAUCCUGCAACUUUGUAUUCGGUCAAAACUUAGAAGAUCGAGUUAUGAAUACCCCUGUAAAAUCGGAUAAACAAAAUGGUAAUGGUUCAAAAUCUCCAACCGAUUUAAGUUUCAACACCGCACCCGAAUUAGCAACAGAGGAGUCAACAGAAGAUGAAAGUAAAACAUUAUUAGAAUCUGCAGCUGAGUAUGCAGCUAAACAGUCUAUUCCUGAGUUACAAGAAGUGGAAACAAUAACAGGGGAAGAGAAUGAAUCGAAUGUUUUACAAAUAAACGCCAAGUUAUAUGUUUUUGAGAAAUCCUCUGGAACGUGGUUAGAGAGAGGAAGGGGUGUCCUCCGAUUAAAUGAUAUUGCAGCAGCCUCCGGUACAGAUAACAAUUCAGCUGUACUACAUUCUAGACUCGUUAUGAGAACUCAAGGCUCUCUUCGACUGGUCUUAAACUCUAAAAUUUGGUCAUCUAUGACAGUUGAAAGAGCCAAUACCAAAUCAGUUAGAAUUACUGCCGCUGACGGCGAUGAUGGAGUGAAAGUGUGUUUGAUAGUUACUAGUGUUAAGGAUGCAGACCAGAUUUUUAGUGCUAUUGAUUGGAGGGUGCAACAACUACGUUCACAGGAGCAAAGGGAAGCCUCAACUUCAGCAACAACUGGCACCUCAUCAGAAAAUUUUGCUGCGAAAAGGACAAGACCAUUCGAAGACGAAUGGCAAACAGAAAAUACGUCCAAUACUACAGGCAAAAAGUUCAAAACGGAAAGCUACUCCAGAACUGAGGAAUCGAACGACAGUAGCACUGUUGACCCUGAAACUGAAGCAUCCAAUAGCAGUGUAAGUUCGUCACCUCCAAUCAAAUCAUCAUCAUCGGAAUGAAAAACCGACUUGCCCAAAAAUAAAAACGAUAGAGAAGCACUUUUUCCCUUUCUUUUAUAAAUCUCAUGACUAGCUGUAUCUAAAUUAUGAACACUUCGUUUUACAAGUGUGGCUAAUAUUUGUAAAGAAAGAAAAAAGUUGUUAAUCGUUAUUAAUAUGUAAAAUAUAUAUGCUUAGAGCAACUAUUUUCCUCCGCCUUGUAUAAAUUGUUCAUAUUUAGCGAUUUUCACAAGUUGGUUUCGUUAUUUAUUUUUAAUGUAAAAUAAACUCAUGUUUUUGAUUACGGUUUUUUAACUACUUUCUUUCUCUCUUUUUAGAAAAUGUUAAAAAUAUAACUUUUUGAUGAUUUCCCUUCUUUUUUAACGUUAUAUGCAUAAAACAAGAAUCAAAACAAGAAAAAAUUUGCAAUAUUUCUUAAAGCAUAUCCUAUCUUUCAAAAAAAAAUUUAAUAUCGAUUUCCAAUUACGGUUUUUCCGAAAGAAUACACAAUAGCUUGCGGAGCACACGCAUACUUCCCCCAAGCACCUAAAGGAACAACAAGAGCACUCGAAUUGUCUUCAGAGCCGAAGUGUAGCGCCUGAUCAGUCACCAAUUGAGCAGCUUUAUUCGGAUGCUGACAGGAAGAAACAAUGUCAAUAAUUUCUUGAUCGUUCAAAGCGUAAGAUACUCCAUCUGUUGCUAACACUAGAAAAGCAUCAAAUCCAUGUUUCACUCUUAUAUGCUUAAUAUCAGGAUCUGCAAUAAUACCAUUAAACUUCAAUUCAGGGUCACCGAAACACCUAGACAUUGCUAAACGACCCUGAACUCUUCCUCCACCAACUGACGAUGAUACAAUUCUUCCUCCUUUUGACUCUAUUCUCUCCCUUUCUGCUGGAUUAUCUGGGCUAUGCUCCCGUGUCAACCUUACCACACUUCCUUUUCGAUUUAAUACUGCCAGAGAAUCGCCAAUAUGCGCAACAUACAAAAAUUGAUUAUCUUUCAAAAUACAGACAGUUGCUGUCGUUCCACAGCUGAUAUUUAAUCUGUUCAGAUACCAAGAUAACCGAUUAUCAAAUUCCAAAAAAGCAUGCUUCAAUGCUCUUUUCAUAUCACAUCUAUUCAACCAAAAUCUUAUAUGACCUGGUAGAUUCAUAGCAGCGAACUGGGCUGCAACACUGCCAGAAUGACCAUCAAAUAUAGCAAACAUCAUAACCCUGUUAGACAAUCUACUAAUGCACAUCCGGUCUUCAUUAGUCUUUCGUCUUCCUAAUAGAGUUGCAUGACCUACGUCUGUAAAUUGAAUUCUUGGAAUGGGCCUUCCGCUUUUUAUACUUUGCUCAAGAUGUAAUUCUAAGUUUAGUCUGUUGUUCCAAGAACCUAGCGUAUCAAAAUUUACUCCUGGUUGAAAAUCUCCACGAUUUUCUGGAUCUCCCAAUCGCCUGUUACACAAUCGAUUUGCUUUCAAGCAGAAGCAUCUCUUAUUCACACAAAAUAGUGAUAAUCGUCGAAGACUCAUAAAUAUGUAUUUUUUAUUCGAUAUGCCUAAACAAUUAUUUUAUACUGUUGUCAAUUUAUAAAAAAAAUCUCUCGCUUUGUUUUUUUUUGGAAGAUAAAUUUUGGUAGCAGAAUAGUCUAUUUUUUCCUUAACCAGUUUUCAUUUUUGCGUCAUUUCCGCUAUUUCGACUCAAUUUUAAACACUUGUGCAAUUUAUUAAAUUUAGAAGAGACUAGUUAUUUGAUUUAUCGGAGAUGUCAGAUGAUAUGUUGAUAGUAAAUGGAAGCCUUUUGGAAGGAGUUUGUAUUANNNNNNNNNNNNNNNNNNNNNNNNNNNNNNNNNNNNNNNNNNNNNNNNNNNNNNNNNNNNNNNNNNNNNNNNNNNNNNNNNNNNNNNNNNNNNNNNNNNNNNNNNNNNNNNNNNNNNNNNNNNNNNNNNNNNNNNNNNNNNNNN
rnacentral:misc_RNA from 1 species